UAAUUUAUAUUCAAUAAAAUAUGUUUUAUAAUUAUGACUUAUGGUGAUUCAAGUUUCAGAAUAUCUCUUGGAAUAGAGAAGGGAUUUCCAUGUUAGUUUGAACUUUUUGGUGGUUUGUGCUUCUUUAUGAUACCUAAAUGAACCAUGAUAAAAUUCCAAAAUAGACAUUGGAGUACAUCUCAAGCAAACUGAUUGUUUUUUUAAUUUAAUCUUUUUUUU
rnacentral:lncRNA from 1 species